rnacentral:rRNA from 1 species
CAGUCGCCACGGUAAUACAGAGGGUGCGAGCGUUAAUUGGAUUUACUGGGCGUAAAGCGUGCGUAGGCGGCUUCUUAAGUCGGAUGUGAAAUCCCUGAGCUUAACUUAGGAAUUGCAUUCGAUACUGGGAAGCUAGAGUAUGGGAGAGGAUGGUAGAAUUCCAGGUGUAGCGGUGAAAUGCGUAGAGAUCUGGAGGAAUACCGAUGGCGAAGGCAGCCAUCUGGCCUAAUACUGACGCUGAGGUACGAAAGCAUGGGGAGCAAACAGGAUUAGAUACCCGAGUAGUCCCUGUCUCUUAUAC